rnacentral:lncRNA from 1 species
CCAAGAGGUAAACUUGGUAGUUGUCACUUUCCCUUCUGUUAUUUACUUUUUCUUAAAAAGCUUGUUUAGUUAAUCAGGUUCAUACUAUCUUAAAAAAAUAAAAAUGUUAAAAACAGUAAGCCCCAUGUGAGUAUGCUCGUGGCAUAAAACCCAUAAGUACAAUUACUGUGGUGGCACAAAAAAAUAUAUAAAUAAUUUUUCCUGCUCUAUAAAAUGAAAAUAUAAAAAUAGAGAGUAACAC